GUGGGGAAUCUUCCGCAAUGGACGAAAGUCUGACGGAGCAACGCCGCGUGAGUGAAGAAGGUUUUCGGAUCGUAAAGCUCUUUCGUUAGGGACGAACGUGCUCUUUGUGAAUAAUGAGUAGUAAUGACGGUACCUAAAUAAGAAGCCACGGCUAACUACGUGCCAGCAGCCGCGGUAAUACGUAGGUGGCAAGCGUUGUCCGGAAUUAUUGGGCGUAAAGCGCGCGCAGGCGGGAUAUCAAGUCUGUCUUAAAAGUGCGAGGCUCAACCUCGUGAGGGGACAGAAACAGGUAUUCUUGAGUGUCGGAGAGGAAAGUGGAAUUCCAAGUGUAGCGGUGAAAUGCGUAGAGAUUUGGAAGAACACCAGUGGCGAAGGCGACUUUCUGGACGAUGUCUGACGCUGAGGCGCGAAAGCUAGGGGAGCGAACGGGAUUAGAUACCCUUGUAGUCC
rnacentral:rRNA from 1 species